CCUACGGGAGGCAGCAGUGGGGAAUAUUGCACAAUGGGGGAAACCCUGAUGCAGCAACGCCGCGUGGGUGAAGGAGCGUUUCGGCGCGUAAAGCUCUGUCAGCGGGGAAGAAGAAAGACGGUACCCGACCCAGAAGCAUCGACUAACUACGUGGCAGCAGCCGCGGUAAUACGUAGGAGGCGCGCGUUAUCCGGAAUUACUGGGUGUAAAGGGAGCGUAGAUGGUGAGUUAAGCCUGAAGUGGAAGCACGCGGCUCAACCGGGGAACUGCAUUGGGAACGGUUAUGCUGGAGUAUGGGAGGGGUAGGCGGAAUUCCUGGUGUAGCGGUGAAAUGCUUAGAUAUCAGGAGGAACACCGGUGGCGAAGGCGGCUUACUGGAC
rnacentral:rRNA from 1 species